rnacentral:sRNA from 1 species
ACAUUAACUCUACAACCCUACUACUGUGUUAUUCAUCUUUUUCAUCUAUAUGAUUGUUCUCUAUUAACAGCUGUGGAUUACAUGGAAUUCAUCUAUACAAGUUAUAUGCAGCUGUUAUAUAUCUCAUUAUAUUUGCCUGAGGGAUUAAACUAGCGCGUUUUCAAGCUGGAUAAGUGAGCGCAAGCAAGCGAUUGCGGCUUGUAAUGAGGGUUAAAAUAUCGGCAAAUCAAUCAUGGAUUUGGGAGAAUAUGAUCUCAACGCGUCCGCAUUGAAUGUGAAAUUAAAAAGCAAGCAUGGAGUGAUCUCAAUUAUGGAA